AAAAUACAGCUCGAAAA
rnacentral:sRNA from 1 species